rnacentral:rRNA from 2 species
AGAGUUUGAUCCUGGCUCAGGACGAACGCUGGCGGCGCGCCUAAUACAUGCAAGUCGAGCGGACAGAAGGGAGCUUGCUCCCGGAUGUUAGCGGCGGACGGGUGAGUAACACGUGGGUAACCUGCCUGUAAGACUGGGAUAACUCCGGGAAACCGGAGCUAAUACCGGAUAGUUCCUUGAACCGCAUGGUUCAAGGAUGAAAGACGGUUUCGGCUGUCACUUACAGAUGGACCCGCGGCGCAUUAGCUAGUUGGUGGGGUAAUGGCUCACCAAGGCGACGAUGCGUAGCCGACCUGAGAGGGUGAUCGGCCACACUGGGACUGAGACACGGCCCAGACUCCUACGGGAGGCAGCAGUAGGGAAUCUUCCGCAAUGGACGAAAGUCUGACGGAGCAACGCCGCGUGAGUGAUGAAGGUUUUCGGAUCGUAAAGCUCUGUUGUUAGGGAAGAACAAGUGCGAGAGUAACUGCUCGCACCUUGACGGUACCUAACCAGAAAGCCACGGCUAACUACGUGCCAGCAGCCGCGGUAAUACGUAGGUGGCAAGCGUUGUCCGGAAUUAUUGGGCGUAAAGGGCUCGCAGCGGUUUCUUAAGUCUGAUGUGAAAGCCCCCGGCUCAACCGGGGAGGGUCAUUGGAAACUGGGAAACUUGAGUGCAGAAGAGGAGAGUGG